GCCUCAUUGGCUCAGGGGCAGAGCGUCUGUCUUGUAAACAGAAGGUCGCUGGUUCGAUUCCAGCAUGGGGCA
rnacentral:tRNA from 1 species